AUGGAUAUCCUCAUCUCUGCAAUCGUAGGCGACCUUGUCGGCAGGUCGAUGUCCUUUUUGAUCAGCAAAUACUUCCAGCAGCAACCUGACAUCAACAAGAUUGUCCAGAGGCUACAGAGUGUUGUAUUGAGAAUCGACAUUGUUGUCGAGGAGGCCCAGGGGAGGGACAUCACCAAUCAGGGUAUGCUCUGUCAGCUCAAGAUGUUGAGGCAAGAAAUGUACAGAGGACACUAUGUUCUUGAUGCCUUGAGAUUCCGAGCCGCCCUUGACGAGGAGGAGGUGAGCCACUCAUCGGCUGCGCUUUGGAAAUCCAGUCCAGCCAAACGGCUUUGUUUCUCUCGCACCGGCAGCAGCAGAGGCAACAGAGAAGCACUGCUAAUUGGCACAAAUAGGAACAUACGAGAAGAGCUGCAACAGAUGGUUGAUACCCUUGAAGACACCAUGGACGGUAUGAAGGCGAUUCUUUUCUUCUUGGAGUUAUAUCCUCGGAUGAUCCGCCAACCUUGCGGCACAUACUUGUUCUUGGACAAUUGCAUGUUUGGUCGCCAAACGGAGCGGCAGUGGAUCCUGAAUUUCUUGCUUAGUCCUGGUGCUACAUCAGAUUUGGCUGUACUUCCGAUCGUUGGCCCAAUAAGAGUAGGGAAGAGCACUCUUGUUGAGAAUGUCUGUAGGGAUGGGAGUGUGCGUGAUCGCUUCUCGAUGAUCCUCUUCUUUCCAGAAAGCAGUCUCAAGGAUGAAGGGGUGGUCGACCUGAGAGAUAACAAUAUUAAAUUCAGACAUCAGAAUUGUGCUUCUCAAAAUAGGUUGCUGAUUAUUAUUGAAACAGACAAGGAUAUUAACGAGGAAACAUCGAGAAGGCUGAAAUCUUCCGCAACCUGCAUGACACCUUGCGGUGAGAGCAAAAUCAUAAUCACUAGUCGGUCAGAUAGAAUUGUGAAUCUGGGAACAACGGAAGCACUUCGACUGGAUUAUCUCUCUCAAGAAGCUUAUUGGCAUUUUUUCAAGUCAAUUGCAUUCGGGAGCAUAAACCCCGGGGAGCAUCCAAAACUGGCAACUAUGGCUAUGGAGAUUGCUUUGGAACAGACACAGUGUUUCACAAGCGCGCGUAUCGUUGCUGAGUUACUGCAACAUAACUUCAAUGCUCGAUUCUGGCGCACAGUUCUUGAAUGUGUAAGAGAAAGUAAACAGAUAAAUCACAUUAUGUUUGGCCAGCACCUACCUUCUUUUGCGGGAAGAUGCACCGGUGUAUUGUUGGAGAUUAGUGAAGAUACACAGAUAUUUCUUGUUUUGCAACCAUCAGCAGUCAUAUUCCGAUGA
rnacentral:rRNA from 1 species